GUGAAUGUUAUUUCUCCUUCCUGAGAUCAUCUGAUCUUCCUUAACAGCUUUGUAGAGACAUUCUGCAGAGGACGAAACAUGUCUGGUAAACUGGAAUCAGCCAUGAGCAGCCUUGUUGAGCUGUUCGAGUGCUACGCACUAAAAGAUGGCGACAGGUUGCACCUGAGCAGAAGGGAGAUGAGUAAUAUGUUUCACGAAGAGCUCGGAGAUCUCAUCAAGCGGAGCAAGGACCCUCAAAAAACAGCAGAGAUCUUGACCAACAUGGACCAGAAUCUGGACGGCCAAGUGGACUUUGAAGAAUUUAUUUCCAUGGUGACUAAAUUCACUAUGUGCAGCUUCGACUACUUUACUAUGGACAGAACUGUAGUUUACACCAGUAGAUGUGGUAAUCCAUGGUAAAAAAUAUGAGUGUCACGCAGUCAAAGAUUGCUUAUACUCAGAUUUGACCUGUGAUGUUGAUUAAAAAUACAGUUACAAAGGUUCAAGUUGCAAGCUGAACUUGUUCCCUGCUGGUUUUAACCUCUGACUCAUUUAAAAUGUCAUCCUCUGAAUAUUAAAUAUGAACUCAAUGAUCUUUUAUGCAUUUUGUCAUUUAAUAUGCUAAACUGAUGUUAAGAAUCAGGGAUGAGAUUCAUUAAAAUGUUCUCUGAAACACA